rnacentral:rRNA from 1 species
UACGUAGGGAGCAAGCGUUGUCCGGAAUCAUUGGGCGUAAAGCGCGCGUAGGUGGCCUCAUAAGUCCGCUGUGAAAGUCAAAGACUCAACCUUUGAAAGCCGGUGGAUACUGUGAGGCUAGAGUACGGAAGAGGCGAGUGGAAUUCCUGGUGUAGCGGUGGAAUGCGCAGAUAUCAGGAGGAACACCAAUAGCGAAGGCAGCUCGCUGGGACGUUACUGACACUGAGGCGCGAAAGCGUGGGGAGCGAACAGG